rnacentral:rRNA from 1 species
AUACGGAGGGUGCAAGCGUUAAUCGGAAUUACUGGGCGUAAAGCGUACGUAGGCGGUUCGUUAAGUUAGAUGUGAAAGCCCCGGGCUUAACCUGGGAACUGCAUUUAAAACUGGCGGACUAGAGUUGAGUAGAGGGGAGUGGAAUUUCAGGUGUAGCGGUGAAAUGCGUAGAGAUCUGAAGGAACACCAGUGGCGAAGGCGACUCCCUGGACUCGAACUGACGCUGAGGUACGAAAGCGUGGGUAGCAAACAGGAUUAGAUACCCUUGUAGUCC